UACAGAGGUCUCGAGCGUUAUUCGGAGUCACUGGGCUUAAAGGGUGCGUAGGCGGACUCGCAAGUGCUUUGUGAAAUCCCACGGCUCAACCGUGGAAUGGCUCGGCAGACUGCGGGUCUCGAGGUCGGUAGGGGCCGCCGGAACUCUAGGUGGAGCGGUGAAAUGCGUAGAUAUCUAGAGGAACGCCAAAGGUGAAGACAGGCGGCUGGGCCGAUUCUGACGCUGAGGCACGAAAGCGUGGGGAGCGAACGGG
rnacentral:rRNA from 1 species